rnacentral:rRNA from 1 species
GACGAACGCUGGCGGCGUGCCUAAUACAUGCAAGUAGAACGCUGAAGGAGGAGCUUGCUUCUCUGGAUGAGUUGCGAACGGGUGAGUAACGCGUAGGUAACCUGCCUGGUAGCGGGGGAUAACUAUUGGAAACGAUAGCUAAUACCGCAUAACAGUAGAUAUCGCAUGAUAUCUACUUGAAAGGUGCAAUUGCAUCACUACCAGAUGGACCUGCGUUGUAUUAGCUAGUUGGUGAGGUAACGGCUCACCAAGGCGACGAUACAUAGCCGACCUGAGAGGGUGAUCGGCCACACUGGGACUGAGACACGGCCCAGACUCCUACGGGAGGCAGCAGUAGGGAAUCUUCGGCAAUGGACGGAAGUCUGACCGAGCAACGCCGCGUGAGUGAAGAAGGUUUUCGGAUCGUAAAGCUCUGUUGUAAGAGAAGAACGAGUGUGAGUGUGGAAAGUUCACACUGUGACGGUAUCUUACCAGAAAGGGACGGCUAACUACGUG